AGCCGAUCACCAAACAUACGUGAGCGAGCCGAUCAUCGAGCAUAUGGCGUCUGCUCCUCCUCCUUGUGCUGCUCCAGCGGUUCCCCGCAUGAAGCUGGGCUCCGAGGGAAUGGAGGUCUCGGCGCAGGGCCUCGGCUGCAUGGGCAUGUCCGUCGCCUACGGCCCCCCCAAGCCCGACGCCGACAUGGUGGCCCUCAUCCACCACGCCGUCGCCGCCGGAGUCACCUUCCUCGACACCUCCGACGUCUACGGUCCGCACACCAACGAGACCCUCCUCGGCAAGGCGCUGCAGGGCGGCGGCGUGAGGGACAGGGUGGAUCUGGCCACCAAGUUCGGCGCCUUCCUUUCAGAGGAUGGGUGGAAUGUCCGCGGGGACCCGGCGUACGUGCGCGAGGCGUGCGAGGGCAGCCUCAAGCGGCUAGGCGUCGAUUGCAUCGAUCUCUACUGCCAGCACCGCGUCGACACCAGGGUGCCCAUCGAGGUCACGAUUGGUGAGCUCAAGAAACUAGUCCAAGAAGGAAAGAUAAAGUACAUCGGAUUAUCCGAAGCAUCUGCAUCAACAAUCAGAAGGGCUCAUGCCGUUCAUCCUAUCACUUCAGUUCAGAUCGAAUGUCACUAUGGAGUAGGGACGUGGAAGAGGACAUAAUUCCAACUUGCAGGGAACUUGGAAUUGGAAUUGUAUGUUACAGCCCACUUGGUAGAGGGUUCUUCUCUGUAGGAUCGAAAUUGGCUGACUCACUAUCAGACGACGACUUCCGUAAGGUUUUACCUAGAUUUCAGCCAGAGAAUCUUGAGAAGAAUGCCCUGAUAUUUGAGAGUGUUAACGCCAUGGCAACAAGAAAAGGGUGCACACCAUCACAACUUGCAUUGGCAUGGGUUCAUCAUCAGGGGAGCGAUGUUUGCCCCAUACCUGGCACAACAAAAAUGGAGAAUUUCAAUCAGAAUGUGGGAGCACUGUCUGUGAAGCUCACACCAGAGGAGAUGGCCGAACUCGAGUCGUACGCUGCCACAGGUGAUGUCCAUGGUGACCGAUACCCUGAAAUGAUGAAUACUUGGAAGGAUUCUGAGACCCCUCCAUUGUCCUCUUGGAAAGUUGAGUCUUGAAUAAACUAGCUAGCUGUUGGUUUUCCAUGUAUUUUUUGUUUCAUGUUUAGCAGUGCACGAGCCCACGUAUUGUGUGGAUGCCGUCCGCGUCGAGUCCGGCAAUGGCAUGUGUGUCCAUGUCGCUGCCAUGCGUGCAACAUGGUCUAGCUGCACGAGCGGUCCGUGGGAUGGCACAGAUCGUCCGGUUUGUGGACUAAUAACUUGAGCACGACGUCUUCCUUAUGCAAAUAAAUUGAGAAAGAGAACGUGAGAAAAGCAGCAAAUUUGUACGCUG